rnacentral:rRNA from 1 species
GACGAACGCUGGCGGCGUGCUUAACACAUGCAAGUCGAACGGAAAGGCCCUGCUUUUGUGGGGUGCUCGAGUGGCGAACGGGUGAGUAACACGUGAGUAACCUGCCCUUGACUUUGGGAUAACUUCAGGAAACUGGGGCUAAUACCGGAUAGGAGCUCCUGCUGCAUGGUGGGGGUUGGAAAGUUUCGGCGGUUGGGGAUGGACUCGCGGCUUAUCAGCUUGUUGGUGGGGUAGUGGCUUACCAAGGCUUUGACGGGUAGCCGGCCUGAGAGGGUGACCGGGCACAUUGGGACUACGGUACGGCGCAGAAGCCUACGGGAGGCAGCAGUGGAGAAUAUUACGCAAUGGGCGGAAGCCUGAUGCAGCAACGCCGCGUGCGGGAUGACGUCCUUCGGGUUGUAAACCGAUUUCGCCUGUGACGAAGCGUGAGUGACGGUAAUGAGUAAGAAAGCACCGGCUAACUACGUG